AUCAUGCUGUCGAUACCACGGAUAUAAAGAAUUCAUUAUGAGAAUACAUAACUAUUCUUUUGAUAUAUUUUGACAAAUCAAGCUCAAGCAGGGAAUACAGCAAUUAUUGUAAAUUACUGGAUACAGAUGACCACCUGCAUACAGUGUAGACUAUGACUGACCAGAAGCUCUGCUUUAAUUCUAAUAUUUUCUCCGGGUUCGCGAAAUUAGGAGAUGAAAUUAUUCUUGGUCAUCUCCUCGUCAGUCGCUAUUAUUUCAGGUUCAAGCCCAAUGAUGUAAGGUGUCGCUCACUACUGCUAUAGAAUAUCAUGCUGUCGAUACCACGGAUAUAAAGAAUUCAUUAUGAGAAUACACAACUAUUCUUUUGAUAUAUUUUGACAAAUCAAGCUCAAGCAGGGAAUACAGCAAUUAUUGUAAAUUACUGGAUACAGAUGACCACCUGCAUACAGUGUAGACUAUGACUGACCAGAAGCUCUGCCUUAAUUCUAAUAUUUUCUCCCAGUUCGCGAAAUUAGGAGAUGAAAUUAUUCUUGGUCAUCUCCUCGUCAGUCGCUAUUAUUUCAGGUUCAAGCCCAAUGAUGUAAGGUGUCGCUCACUACUGCUAUAGAAUAUCAUGCUGUCGAUACCACGGAUAUAAAGAAUUCAUUAUGAGAAUACACAACUAUUCUUUUGAUAUAUUUUGACAAAUCAAGCUCAAGCAGGGAAUACAGCAAUUAUUGUAAAUU